rnacentral:rRNA from 1 species
GACGAACGCUGGCGGCGUGCUUAACACAUGCAAGUCGAACGGUAAGGCCCUUCGGGGUACACGAGUGGCGAACGGGUGAGUAACACGUGGGUGAUCUGCCCUGCACUUCGGGAUAAGCCUGGGAAACUGGGUCUAAUACCGGAUAGGACUCCUGGCUUCAUGGUUGGGGGUGGAAAGCUUUUGCGGUGUGGGAUGGGCCCGCGGCCUAUCAGCUUGUUGGUGGGGUAAUGGCCUACCAAGGCGACGACGGGUAGCCGGCCUGAGAGGGUGACCGGUCACACUGGGACUGAGAUACGGCCCAGACUCCUACGGGAGGCAGCAGUGGGGAAUAUUGCACAAUGGGCGCAAGCCUGAUGCAGCGACGCCGCGUGAGGGAUGACGGCCUUCGGGUUGUAAACCUCUUUCAGCUAUGACGAAGCGCAAGUGACGGUAGUAGCAGAAGAAGGACCGGCCAACUACGUGCCAGCCGCCGCCGUAAGAC